rnacentral:rRNA from 1 species
CUCAAAGAAUUAAACCAUGCAAGUGGUUAUAUUAACCCGACAGUUUAAAUAAGUGUUAAAUGCUACAUUAAAUUUACAAAUCACAUUAUCACGCAUACAUUGAUUUUGUUUACAGUUUAACGAUUUCAGCGUGUAUCACACAUACAGUGAAUCACUGGAAUUUUACCCAUUCAGUAUCACUUACGCAACUGCAGACAGCUGCUUAAUACAGUCACACUUGUCUUGACUUGGCGUAAUAAAAAUUUUCAUUCGAACACCCGUUCACGCGGGGGAUGACAGUGAAUUUUUUUAUUUUGUUGCAUCACGCAUACAAAAUUUUUUGAUUUCUCUGUAUCGCUUAUUCUUAAGGACACGCGUUACACCGUGACAAUUUUCUUUAUGGAUAACUCAGGGAAAGUUUGGCUAAUACGUACGAGUACAUUACCACACACACACACACACACACACACACAUUCACAAUUCAAAAUUUUUUUGUAUUGCUGUGUAUCAACUACUACUCAGCACUCAGUGGUAAACUUUGGUUGCCUCGCGCAGCCAGUUUAAAGUUUAACUGCAACAUGAGAGACAUUGAGCACGCACGUAUCGUGCCUUCGGGCACUUUACAUCACGCUGAGCAGACUUUGCGAAGUUUACUUUGCGAAGCAUGUCAUACAAGCAUCUACAGCAUCAAGUCACAGGGUUGGCAAGUGUAUUUUUGAACCUUCAAAGCAGUCACGCAUACGGAAGAGUAGUUUCUGAUCCCAUAGAAGGAGCACCGUACAAUGAGAGACCGCUCUUAGUUCUAAGGAACGCAGCAGGCGCGUAAAUUGCCCAAUGCAAGUACCCUACAAUCAAAUUGUAUUUACAUGCGUUAACAAUUUACAACACAACAAGUUUUAAUGACAGACAUAUAACACUUUCAUUUUUACUGUUACGUACACAUACGUACACAUUACACACAAUAUAUCCUUGUUCGUUGUUAUUCAGCAUUUUAUAAUAUUAAUUUAUUAUUUUACUGAGGCAGUGACAAGCUGUAACGGUUGAGUAUAAAAAUGACGAGUGUCUGGCAUUGCCGCUCUUUCGGGAGCUUGGCAAGUUGCCGACGCUUUGUGUGCUCAAUUGGAAUGCGGUGAGUUUAAGCAACUCAGAACCUUUGGACGGUGCUAGUAAAAUUUCACUGUUCGGUAUCUGAAUUUCAAGUGAG